GCAGUACCUAACCCGGCGCCUCCUUGCG
rnacentral:sRNA from 1 species